rnacentral:tRNA from 1 species
AGUGGUAAAGUUCUUGCCUAACAUGCAUGAGGUCCUGGGUUCAAUUCCUAGCACUAAUA